GUCAGCUGAGCCCCCACCUCCUCCAGGAAGCCCCCCUGGAUGCGGCCCUGCUCUUUGGGGGCUCACUCCCCUCUGGAGCCUUCAGCACUUCUCUGAACCACCCGUUGGACACUGUGGUGGUGUUUUAAUUGUGAUGAAAAAUAAAACAGCCUCUUAAGGUCUUGACUGUCCACUAUCAUUCCCCAUAAACACUAUGAUGUAUAUGGGAUUUCUAGAACUUUUUCAAAGCUGCAUGAGUGAACCUCUGUCCCCUGGAACCGCAGCUUCCCCUCUCGCUUCCCCAGCUGCUGGCAACCACAUCCUACUUUCUGUUCCUGUGAGUCUAUUUGAGGUACCUGGUGAAGUGCUAUCUAGAGGUGGUGACAAACUGAGUCCCCAUCAACAACGCGUAGUGGGGACGCCUGGGUGGCUCAGCGGUUGAGCACCUACCCUGGGAUCCAGGGAUCGAGUCCCACGUCAGGCUCCCUGCAUGGAGCCUGCUUCUCCCUCUGCCUGUGUCCCUGCCUCUCUCUCUCUCUCUCUCUGUGUGUGUCUCUCAUGAAUAAAUAAAUGGAAUCUUUAAAAAAAAAAAACACUGAGUGUUUAAGAACACUGAGUGGAUUAAGAAACACUGAGUGGAUUAAGAAAAGAUGGUGUGUACAUACAAUGGAGGAUUAGGCGUAAAGAAGAAGUAAUCCGGUGACGAGCAACAUUGUGGACGGACCGGACGACGUUAUGCUAAGUGAAGUUAGCCAGUCACAGAAGGUCAAAUACUCUAGGGUCCUGACUUAUUCGAUCGCACCUGAGUUACAAGGCGGCCCCAUCACAGGUUCUCCGCCCCCGGCUACCCGCUACCCGUUAGCAUCACCUGGAGAACCUUAACAACCGCCCCACCCAGGCUGCUCCCCAGCCCAGUAAAUGAGCACCUCUGUGGGAUCUGGGCUCCAGGAGCACCCCCAGGGGCUCCAGCACGUGCCAAGGUUAGGAAUCCGGGAUGCGGGGUCAGCACAUCUAAUCCCAAGCCUUGAAUCUGCCACUUACUUGGUAGGUGCCCUUGACAAGAAGAAGAGAUUAACGGCCCUCAUUGAGCACUGACUGUAUGCCCCCAGCAAGUAUGCCACAGCCAGUCCCAUUUUCCAGGACGCAGAGGCCCAGAGAAAUCCAGCCGUUGGCUGUGGGGCACACAGCACGGGAACCACUGGGACCAGAUUUGCAUGGAGACGGCCAGCUCAGCAGGGUCCUUAGCCCGGUGAGGCCAGUCUCCUGGGUCCUACAGAGGUAAUUCCCCUUGAUCUGGGUGCCACACCUCAUUCUGAAAAGGUCUGGGGGGCUUCACAGGAUCCUUUUUUCUGGACAAAAGUCCCAGGAUGCCAUAGGAUGACAAAGAUGAAGGGUGGGCUUCAGAAAAAAGCAAACGUAGUGGGGCACCCAGGUGGCUCCAUCGGGUGAGCAUCUGCCUUCAGCUCAGGUCAUGAUCCCGGGGUCCUGGGAUCAAGCCCCACGUCGGGCUCCCUGCUCAGAACAGAGCUUGCUUCUCCCUCUGCUCCUCACCCCGCUCAUGGUCUCUCUCUCUCAAAUAAAUAAAAUCUUUAAAAAAAAUAAAACUUAAAAAAAAAAGCAAAGCUAAGAGCAUAGAGGCAUAGUGGCCCCUGUUAACACUCCUGUCCCCCGUCAACACUCGGGGUCAGACAAGAAAGGCGGCCGCCCUUCUGGCCGGGCUCUGGCUCCCGCAGCUCACUCAGCCACCAUUCCCUCCUGGCCGAGGUGGCAGCACAUCCUGGCAACUUAACUUCUCCUUCUGGGGGAAAAGAAAAAAAAAUCUAUUAUUGAAGGUGACCCUGUGCCAAGGGCAGGUCACCCCUCUCUUUCCUCGCCUGUGUCCAAGCUCCUGGUGAAAUGACGCUAUUAUCCCUCUGCAAACACGGAGGAGCAAUUUCCUCCUGGCUCCUCCCGCCUCUGUUUGUUCCACUGGAUGACAAAUAUUGAGCAAAUGUGCAGUUUGAGCUUGGGGACCAGGAACAUCCCGUGCUGUCCUCCCGUGUGUUCAGACAAGCCCAGGGCCACAGUGGGGCAAGGCUGUCAUUGGCUCUGCCCUGUUCUCCCGCGACGGUGCGAGCUGCAUGGGGCCAGCCACCCUCAGAGCAGUUUCUAGCAGCGUCCUCACCCUGGCAGCGUCCCCAGGAUCGCCAGGCACCAUAUUUCCUGGUAUUAAAAACCCUACAGCAGGGGCUCCCAACUGGCGGCAGUUUGGCCUCCGCUCCCCAGGGGACUUUUCUUGCUGCCACAAUUUGUGGGUGGUGGUGGGGGUGUCUACUGGCAUCUGAUGGGGGGAAGCUAGGGCUGCCGCUGAGUGCCAGGUACGCAGAAGGCAGUCCCCACAACAGAGCACGAUCUGGUCCCCAAAGUCCAUUGCGCCAAUGCUGAGAAGCUUCAGUAUGGACUCGGGAGCUCUUACAAGGACGAAUUUUGAAAGGACACAUUGACAGGUGCUUUUCAUAAUCGAGGGCGUGGUCACACGACCCAGGCUUCGCCCAUCAGAUGGAUGCACCUUGCCAGGCUCGGCCUCCGAAGGAGUAGGGAUGGCACGGACUGUUGCCUUCCGUCGGAGCAAUGGGCUGCACAAGAUCAAGUUCCCAGCACAAAGGACCACCUUGCGGCGCCGGCGGUGAAUUCCUUACCAAACUGUUCUGUGGAAGAAUGUGAGGCAAUCAACAGGGACUUGGCUGCCUACUUCCUAGCCUCUGCCCCACCCGAUUUCCUGUUACUGAAUUCCUGUUCUGCGGAAGUCAGCCAGUCACUGUUGCUUGCAACGAAGAAGAGGAAAGAUACAAAAUUUGGACGCUACGAGCAACAGACACUCUAGUGUGCAAUUGGCCAGUCGAGGGGGCAGGGCCACGAGGACCUGUUAUUCCAGGCUGGGAUGCGGUGGCCCUUGCAUGAUCUUUGCAAGACAUUUGUUGGACACGAAAGCUCGGCAAGCUUUCCUGUAAAGGGCCAGAUAGUCACUGCAUCAGGCUUAGGGUUCAGUAUGGUCUCUUUGGCAGCCACUCACCUCUGCCUUUGAAAGCGGCCGCGAACGGUGUGUCAGCUGGUGUGUGUGUGGCUGGUUGCCAAGAUCAUUUUGCUUACAAAAUCAGGUGGUGGGCCGGAUUGGGCCCAUGGAUCAGAUGUUUGACACUGGUUUAAACUGUUGUGGAAACAUAUCUAGCUGCUGCCACGUUCAGCUUCCUAGAGUCUUCACUAAGCUCCUUCGAGAAAAAGUCAAUCUUGAGCCACAGGUGGCUCCUUGAGUGGCAAAAGUGGAAGACAAUAGGGCAUCACUGAGAUUCUUUCUGCCUGAAGUCUUAACAAUCUAAACUGAUAAGUCCAGGGAUUCAGAGGUUUGUGGGGAUGGGCGACUCAAAUUCUAAGCCAGGAAUUGGUGCGCUUGGCCCGUAAGGGCCAGACGGUAAAGAGCUCAGAUGUUACAGGCCACAUAAAGCCUUUGUUUGUUUCUUCUUCACAUUUUUUUGCAACUCUUUAAAAACAAAAAAGCAGGACACCUGGGUGGCUCAGAGGUUGAGCAUCUACCUUUGGCUCCAGUCAUGAGCCCACAGUCCCAGGAUCGAGUCCCACGUCGGGCUCCCUGCAUGGAGCCUGCUUCUUCCUCUGCCUCUGCCUCUGUCUCUGUCUCUCAUGAAUGAACAAAUAAAAUCUUUAUAAUAAAAAAUAAAAACAAAACACCAUUCUUAUCUCCUGGGCCAUUAAAAAGCAGGCUAUUGGCCAGCGAGCCUGUCAUGUGCCAAACUGUGCUCUAAACUAUACAGAUCAGUGGUGUGGAGGCAGAAAGCGGAGUGGAAUGGACGAGACAACUAGAAAAGAUGCGCCAGGUCCUAGCCUUUUCCACCAGAGGGACAAGCCCAGGGACAUAGCUUGGACUAUGACAGCUUGAAGUUAUUGCCUCAAGACAUAGAGCCAUGACACUAGGAGACAGCAAUUCUCGAGCUCAAAGAUUAGGCCCAUCUCAUAAGAGACCAUAAGACAGAACCAUCCACCUAUGCUGCGCCUGGAUUCCUAUCAAAACCUGUGCGACAGGAGCACCUGUGUGGCUCAGUGGGUGAGCACCUGCCUUCAGCUCAGGUCGUGAUCCUGGGAUCAGGGAAUCGAGUUCCACAUCGGGCUCCCUCUGCUUCUGUCUCUGCAUCUCUCUCUGUGUCUCUCAUGAAUAAAUGAAUAAGAUCUAAAACAAAACAAAAAAACCUGUGUGAUAAUAAAUGCUUGUUGUUUGAAAAAAGAAAAGAUCCAGGUACUAUCUCUGGCUGACUUGCCCACUAACUAGUUGCCAGCCUCCCUUGCAGCGAGGGCAUGGUCACAUGACCCAGGCUUCGCCCAUCAGAUGGAUGCACCAUUGGCCUUAUGGCCAAAGGAACCUUAUCUGUGACCAAAGACAUCCCAUGACUGUCCUCCCCUGAGGCACUUCUGAGACACUGGGCCUCAUGUCCACAGAAAGGAAGAAGGGGCUCGUCUCCACUGCCCAUCUUGGGUAUGGCCUUGGAGGGCUGUGCCCGGGAGAUGGUCCCCCUGAGUGGAAUCAAAGGCCAUGAACUGACCAACCACUGACCUCACUCUCCACCAGGGAGUGGUACUUGCAACUGACAAGGAACUUUGGCCACUGGGCAUGGAUUCUCCUUCUGCUCAUCCAUUUUCCAAAGGGGAUCAUCUCUUACAGGGAUUCUGUUCCUUUUCCCCCAUUACGUGUUGCUGCGUUGGGUGUAUAGGACUUAGCUUUUUGUCACAGGUCACUGGGCCAUGAGGAGCCACAUCUGGAUCUGACACAGGAUAAUCCAUGUCACCAAAUGAUUCUGGAGCUGGAAGUACUAACUGAUUUUGGCGUCAGGGUGUGUACCUCUUGGAAAGGGGUUAGUUCACUUUAUGAAUAUAUAAGAAUCUUAAAAAUUCUUAUGAAGUUUUGUGUAGACGUUGGGCAGCCCAGGGACAGACUGUGGCAGACCCUGUUGGUGGCCUCUUCUCUUCUCUAGGAGUGUGGUUGAUAAGUAUAUCCCUCACUGAGAGACUCUAAUGCCCAGCUAAGAGGUCAACACCAGUCGUAGUCAUUUUAAUUACCUCUCCCAGUGUUUGGGUUAAGCAUGAAAAUCGGAAUCCUCAGGCACUGGGAAGAGUUUGCCAAAGGAUUCUAAGAAAACUCUUCUUGUUCCUAAAAAGAGACACACACGAAAAAAGACAGUACCCUUCUCAUUUGAUUAGACCAGGGAAUGGCAAACAUUUUCUGUAACAGGCCAGAUAGUAUUACAGGCUGCAGGCUGUGCGUGUUCUGUGGUAACCCUCCCUAUGUAGCCUGAAAUCAGCCUGCAUGAUAUCUAAACAAAACAGCCAAGCUCCAAUAAAACCUUAUAGAUGGACGCUGAGAUUUGAAUUUCAUGUAAUUUUCAUGUGUCACCAAGUAUUCCUCUUUUCACUUCUGUUUUUUGUUGUUUGUUUGUUUUUUUUAUAUUGGGAACUAAGAUAAGUCUAGACAAUGGCAGGGACUAAGUACCAAACACCCAGCACAACACUUAUGCCAUAAUACAUACACAAAUACUUGGUGAAUAAAUAUUUAUAAUACCCUCAUGAUGAAUUGACCCCUUUAGCAGAAAUAUUAGUGCACCAUCAUUACUGCAACAUCAGAACACCUAGAUAUCAAGCAAUAGUAACAGAUCCAAGUAACAGAUCCAAAGGGAGGGAUACAGUAAUAGUAGCAGACUUUAGUACCCCACCGUCAGCAAUGGAUAGAUCAUCCAGGCAGAAAAUCAAUAAGGAAACAUUGGGUUUGAGCUAGACUUUAGACCAAAUGGACCAGACAACAUCUAUGGAACGUUCCCUCCGAGAGCAGUGGAAUAUACUUUCUUCUCAAGCACGCAGGGAGUAUUCUCCAGGAUGAAUCAUGCUAGGCCACCAAUACUUGGUGAAUGAAUGAGUGGCACGCUUCCUUCCAAGUGGAAGAAAUAUAUAAAAUUGAGUUCUCUGGGGUGCCCACCAUCUAUCUUCCACAUGGACCAAAAACCAAACCAAACUGACCAUGAAAAGACCCUAGAAACACAAAGAAUACAGACAGUAAGUAAGCCUUGGAGGUUUUUAGUUUGCAACUCCUACGUAGAGACAAGUGAACGCAGGUUCUCCAUAUUUGGCAUUCCUUCACUAAAAAUUCAAGAUCUCACUCUGUCUCUCUUCAUCUAUCAUCUAUCUAUCCAUCCAUCCUGUCUGUCCAUCCUAUCUACCUAACCAUCCUAUUAUCUAUCUAUCUAUCUAUCUAUCUAUCUAUCUAUCUAUCUAUCUAUCAUCUAUCAUCUAUCUUCUAUCUAUCCUAUCUAUCCAUCCAUCCUAUCUACCCACCUAUCCAUCUUAUCUAUCUAUCUAUCUAUCCUGUCUACCCAUCCUAUCUAAUCUACCUAUCCAUUCUAUCUUCUAUCUAUCCAUCCUAUCUAUCCAUCCUAUCUAUCCAUCCAUCCUGUCUGUCCAUCCUAUCUACCUAUCCAUCCUAUCUAUCAUCUAUCUAUCUAUCUAUCUAUCUAUCUAUCUAUCUAUCUCUACCUAUCAUCAUCAUCAAUCUAUCCAUCCUAUCUACCUGCCUAUCCUAUCCUAGCUAUCUACCUAUCCAUUCUAUCUUCUAUCUAUCCAACCUACCUACCCAUCCUAUCUAUCAUCUAUCUACCUAUCUACCUACCUACCAAUGUAUCUAUCAUCUCUUUCUUUCUGCUGAAUUUUUCAUUCUUUAGCAGAGUGUGCUGUAAAGAUAGUCUGAUUUUCAUCAUCGCCCAACCCUUUAAAGCAGAAGUCUUCAUUAAGCAAACUGGAGAAGAAGGCUAUAUGAUUUUCAGGGACCCUGCAAAUAGAAAAUGUGAAGCCAUUGGUUCAAUAUCACUAAGAAUUUUAAGACGGCACCAGCAGAUUGCUAACCAAACAGGGAGUCCUGAACAACUGCAGGUCAUUCUUCCAGGAAGCUGGUUCCAUGAGAGGCAAAGGGGUGGAAGCUGUCCUGUGAGGAACUCUCAAACAUCAGUUGCUCGCUAUAAAAACCGCACGAUUAUCUUGAUGAGAAAUCACGUGGUGCCCUGCCACUCAAAACGGUGGCAGUCUACACUGGAUGCUGGCACAGUUGGAACACUGGAGUCUGUUGCUCUGGGCCAUUUGGUUCCAAACUUUAUUUGCCAUGUACAGUUUCACAGUAUAUAAAAUAUAGGAAAUAAACUAUUUGAAAGGCACGUGAAAUAGAACAUAUCUAACCAAAGUCACAUUUUGCCCCCAAACCAAGAUUCAGAUUUAGCCUCUAGGCCAUUCCCUCACAUUUCCCCCAAACCACUACUCCCCGCAGUACACAAAACUGUCUAGUCUGCUGUAUUAUAAAUAACCUUUCAACUAUUAGCGAGUUGAUUCCCCGCUCAGGCAGAUUUUAAAUGAAGCCACAGCUACUAUCAACCUUCCAGCUACUGUGUUUAGUGUGUGUAUGUAUGGGCUUGGGGGUCACAGUUUCUGCAUCAUCAGUAAAUACAGAGCAUCAGGGGACUCCGAUGCGCUCAGGCUCACAACCUACAGCAGAGAGCAUGGGGGUGGGGGGACGUCGCCAACUUUCCUGUAUUCACGUAUGAAUAUACACAUUCACUCAGAGCAACAAAUCAAUCCUACAAACUCAUCUCAACAGAGACCCAAAGUCAUUUUAAUGCAAAUAACAAAACAAGUUAGUCUGUCUCCAUCCAUAGCCCCUCCACGAAAGAAGUACAGUACUUUAUAAAAAUGUUCUAAAAUGCGCAAACUACAGUUCCUUCAAAUACAAUUGUUACGGGUAACACAUUUGGUCCUAAUAUUUGCUUCCUGGAUGUCUCAGCUAAUUUUCUUCAUUGGGGUUGUUCUUGAGUCACUGAUAAUAAGCACUGAGUGAGGGCUGGUUCUGCCUACAGAUAAGAAGUUUGGACAGUUUCCUCCUCCCACCAUCACCUCUUCCUUGCUUCCCCGAAGGCAUGUCACACCCGUGGGGGAUGGAAAGUUGCUCUCACGUUUCACAAAACCUUGGUGUCACAGAUGGGUGUGGACACUGAAUGCUACAUGGUAGUGGUGACCAGCCAGGAAAACCCCUGGGGUCGUUUUGGAUGCUCACGGACCCCUCAAAUUUUGGGGAAGGAUGUUCACACACUACCUAGAGAGUAGGCUUUCCAGAUUUCUGGCUCUGAGCAUUUUUGUUUCCAGUGUGGCUACAAGAGAAAUCUGGAAGAGCCACCUGG